UCUUAUCAAAUAAAUAAGUGUUUGGGUAUCCAAAUCUACACAACAGAUAGGUAAUGGAGGGAAUGUGGGCGGUGGUGUAGCCUUCAGGUUAAGGUAUUCGCUCGUCACGCAGAACGGCUGGUUUCUUUUACCUAUGGGAACAAAGUGUGAAGCACAUUUCUGAUGUCCCCCACCGUGAUAUUGUUUGAAUGUUGCGAAGAGCAGUGUAAAAUCUAACUCACUUACUACUGUGACGUUUUAACAUGAGAUAUUCACUCCAAAAUAUUGUUGCAGUGGUGGUCAGCUUUUGAAACUCGGCCACUGAAAACACGUUCCAGUUAUAUUCGGAAACAACUGCGCGUUAAAAUGUUUUAUUACAGCUUUGAUGACAGAAAAUAAGUUAUAAAUCGUAUUGUGAACGCUAUUGUCUUAAACAUGCACAGUGUUUUCUGUGCAGUGAUCGUCAUGGACAAGUUGAUUGGGGAAGGUAUAUAUGGUGUACCCCAUUACCUCAAGACUAAGCUGGUAUAAAAACUGUAUGGUUCUGAUAAUGUAGGGCCAUGAGGUGACAUCAGUCGUGACAGCUUCACAACGCGCAGUUUGUUUACACAUGUUGUGUUCGUAUCUACGUUUAUGUUAGCCCUAUGUUUAGAUCUUAGCUGUGUCUGUGCACAGAGCCAGAUAUCAUGUCCAUCUUGAUGCAGGGAGACACUGCAAACUGCAGGAGGAAUAUAUCCCUUAGAUGAUGCAGUCAAUCAACAGAACAACCUUCAUUAUCAUAGUCUCCCUUGCACAGACAGCGCUCAGUAAGUGUCUUAGAGUUGACGCAUAGACAACAAUAAACAAUUUGAUUGAACUAAUUACAAUUGAACUGGCAUUCGAUCAUAUAUAUGGUAAACUACAUACAUAUAAUAAUAUUGCUAAGAGAACUAUAUUAGUCGGUAUUUGUUUAUGUAUGUGAAUCACUGGUUAAUGUACUUGCAUUUGUUGUAUUCCUGAAAGGUACACCUCAACUAUCAUGCCCUGAUAUAUCUUACCCUGGUGUGUUUGCUCGACUGACAUGCUACACGACUUCCCCCUUCUCCAUUCUCCAAUACGCUGGGCCAGACGGAAUAAUUGCCCCACAGUGUAUUGCAAACUGGUCUAUUUGUAUGCCUGUUAAAGGAUAUAAUACAAGCAUUAUCAACACGACCCAUACUGAGCUGAGAAUAUUGAGUAUAAAUCCAACACAUGCAGGGCUUUGGACAUGUGCUGCUCCUGGAGAUGACGGCAAUUCAUCUUGCGAACUUCAUGUCAAAAUGACGGCGGACAAAGAUGCAAGCAUCAGCACAAGCAUUACCACCGUGGCUAUCGUUGCCGGAAGCGUGGGUGUCACAAUCAUAGUUGUGCUGGUGAUCUUUCUGGUGAGGAUGAAACUGGUGAGGAUGAAACAGUCAAAACGGACACAGCAGGCUGAAAAAUAUGUGUACGAUUCCCCUUGGGCAUGAGUACAACACUUUGUACCUGACUCCUGUUCAGGGAGAAAAAUCCUUCUGUGAUGUCAUAUCCAGUUAAUUACACUGUAUAAAUACACACGUAUAUGUAUACCGUGACGGUAUUAUGCUGUUGCCUCAAAAGUCCAGGUGAUAAUAAGUUAGUCGGGUAGUUUUUUAAGCAUUCGCACAGAGUUCGUUUUCCUAAAACGAAGCACAUUGCUGAAGCCCAUUUUUUGUACUCAGUCUAAGGUGAUACCUUGAAUAUUGCUAAAAGCCUUACCCACAAUAUGUAUUAAAAUAUGCCUGAUUAAUUUCAGAAUAAAUUGUGUGUUUUUUUUAACUCUGGCGCAACAACAGUGGGGGACUAGGCUUGGGCCGGUCAGUCAACAGUCCCUGCAAUUUGAUUAAUUAAUUCCGCCAACUCUCUUUGCAAAUCAGGCAUAAUGCAUUGCACAAAGAGACUACCUUAGUUUGGCAAAUGUCAUAACACAGUAUCAACCUGGACUGAUAGUAGACAUCCGUUUGUGGAACAUGUAUAUAACUACCUACCCUGAUGCUUUGGGAAACUUGUAACAAUGCAAUAAACUCUAUCAAUAAAACGAAUGGCAUUAAGCAUUAAAGCAUACAUGAAUUUCUUAACAUUUAAUUCAGUAAACAACAUCAAUUGUG